GACGAACCGUGCGAACGUUAUUCGGAAUCAUUGGGCUUAAAGGGUGCGUAGGCGGGCUCGUGAGUCAGGGGUGAAAUCCCACGGCCCAACCGUGGAAGUGCCUCUGAUACUGCGGGCCUGGAGGGGGAUAGGGGCGUGCGGAACUUCCGGUGGAGCGGUGGAAUGCGUAGAUAUCGGAAGGAACACCGGUGGCGAAAGCGGCGCGCUGGAUCCCUACUGACGCUGAGGCACGAAAGCCAGGGGAGCAAACGGG
rnacentral:rRNA from 1 species